rnacentral:rRNA from 1 species
AUUGAACGCUGGCGGCAUGCCUUACACAUGCAAGUCGAACGGUAACGGGUCCUUCGGGAUGCCGACGAGUGGCGAACGGGUGAGUAAUAUAUCGGAACGUGCCCAGUAGUGGGGGAUAACUGCUCGAAAGGGCAGCUAAUACCGCAUACGACCUGAGGGUGAAAGGGGGGGAUCGCAAGACCUCUCGCUAUUGGAGCGGCCGAUAUCAGAUUAGCUAGUUGGUGGGGUAAAGGCCUACCAAGGCAACGAUCUGUAGUUGGUCUGAGAGGACGACGAGCCACACUGGGAGGUAGGCACGGCCCAGACACCUACGGGAGGCAGCAGUGCAGAAUUUUGGACAAGGGGCGCAAGCCUGAUCCAGCAAGGCCGCGUGCAGGAAGAAGGCCGUCGGGUUGUUAACUGCUUUUGUCAGGGAAGAAAUCUUCUGGGGUCAUCCCCCGGGAGGAUGACGGUACCUGAAGAAUAAGCACCGGCUAACUACGUGCCAGCCGCCGCCGUAA